rnacentral:lncRNA from 1 species
CUACCUUUGAUAUGUGAACCCAUAGAUUCAAUUUUGACUGGUAGUGAGAUAUACCAUGAUCUCUAUCAUAGGUAUUACUGAAACCCCUUUCAGUGGAUCGAAAUAGUUCCACUCUAGCUUGACAAGGAUCAUUGAUCCAAAACGAUUUUAUUGAGCUAUCACAAUCUAUCAAUGACAUCUAGUAAUAUGUAGUGACAACCCAACAGAAUCGAAAAAGAACCUUUAGAUGUAGUUAAUGUAUGAUAUAAUUCCUUUAUCAUG